GUUGGCCAUCCUUCUAGACACGACUACACAGGUACGAUAGAGCUCUGUUGUGUCACCUGUGCGUGCAUAGGGAUUCAUGAGCUCUCUCACUGCCUUUCCCUGUGCUCUCUUGCUAGUUGUUGGCUCAAAGGUACAGAUGGCUGCCAGGAUGCUGAUGCUGUAUCCGGGGCUGAUAGCCUGUGAUGAAGUGACUUAUUCAAAAUCUGGGCUGCCCAGCCGUUUCUUUAAAAAGCUUCCAGACAAGGAGAUGAAUGAUGCUGUGACCUCUGAAGUCAUGUAUGAAUAUCUUGGCAGAAAGAAAAACCCAAUGGUUGCGAAGUCGGGCUUUACCAAGGAGAGAGAUGCAAAUCAACCCUUACUAGGUCGAGAGACCGAGAUCACAACUUUCUGGACCACGCUGCGGUUAUUUUUGAGAUGCAAAGAAGGCCACGUUUUAGUAUAUGAAGGAGCGUCAGGCUAUGGGAAAAGCCGACUACUUGCUGAAAUAAACUACUCAGCCCAGAAGGACAA